CUCCUCCUCUGUCCAAACAGUCUUAAAAGACAGCAGCUCUCUGGCCAAGGUGUCAGUGAACUGCCCUUGACUCACAGUGACGGGAUUUCUUUUCAAACAAGUCGUUGGGGUUCCCGAAACAGUAAAACGUUUGCCCUGCCCUUUAAAAACCUAUACAGACAAAAGAGAGAGAUAAAACAAAAAACCGCCCCUGUACCUCCAUUCCCUUUGCAUGACAAACAAACUCCUUGUCGACCAACGCGCUGAGAGGUGUAGUGCGCUGUCUGCUAAGUGGGCUGUCAGUAGUAUUUUUUUUUUUUUUUUUUUCUACUUUUGCCUGAAAUCUAGUUGGUGGUUGUUACCUUGGACUCCCCCCAACUCGUCCUAUUCAUGUGUGGAAUCUCAUUGUUGGUGUGGACAUCAUUCAAGCUGGUGUUCCAAAGCAACUGGAGGUUCCCACUUCAUUAGAGCUGUGUUUCGGAGGGCUGGACAGAGCGUAAGCACUACGUCUGGCUCUGACAGCUAGUCGAGGCGAUAACCGAGAAGAUUUGGUGGAAAGGGGCCGAAAACGGAACUACGUUUCAGGAGAGAAGAAGCCAGAAAGGCUUUAAGGAUGACACCUGUUAAAAUGGCACUGACAUGGUCUUUGCUUUCAGUAUGGACAGUAACUUCUGCUGUGCAGCUUGAAGAAGAAGAACUCAAUGAGACGGUCAUUUGCACCAACGAUCAGAUGCGAGUCGUCAUUCCCAGUGUGUUUUUUCUGAACAAGGAGCCACCUGUUAAUGUUUGGGAUUUGCACCUGAAUGAUCCUGAAUGUCGAGGUGUAGAGUUCGGGAACGACUACGUCUUCAGCAUCAAAACAAACCUCACGGACUGCGGCACCAUUAUGGCAUCAGAUGAUACUCAUAUCAUGUUCACCAACACAAUCCGUAACAAUGAAACCGAUAUCAUCACCAGAAGCUACAUCAACAUCACGUUUGGGUGUCGAUACCCCAUAAACUACAUGGUCCAGCAGCAAAACGGGGAGAAUCUGAUCAGAGUGGAUGUCAGGACAAUCACUCUCAACACAGAGGAUGGAAAUUUCUCGGUCUCCAUGCUGCUGUAUAAAGACGGAGAGUUUCAGGAUAAAUGGACCACUGUUCCUUCUCUCACACUUGAGGACAACAUCUAUGUCAGAGUUUAUAUGAUUCCAGCAAAUCUUUUUCUGAGAGUGGAGAGAUGUUGGGCCACACCAACCAAAGACCCUUACAGCAACAUUCAGUACACCUUCAUCAGGGACAGCUGUCCAGUGCUGUGGAAUGACCAGACGCUAGCUGUGAUGAAGAACGGUCAGGGACCAGAAGCUCUGUUCAGGAUACAGAUGUUCAAGUUUGUUGGUAGCUCCUACACAGAUGUUUUCCUGCACUGCAACGUCCAGAUCUGUCAUAACACAGGAGGAGUGUGCCAGCCUGAAUGGAUCCCUCGGGAAUCAUUCUGAUAUGCUUCAGAAACAUUUUCUUUUAUUGUAAAAUUAAAAACAGUUUUGCCAUUUAAUAUUUUUGCGGGGGGAAAAAUUGGUAACAAUGAAAAAAUCUUUUUUAUUGAUCAUGCUGAAUUAAAGUAUUAAUCUUACUGACCCAAUGCUUAGCUUACACCCAUCUGUCUGUCAAAAAUUGGUCUAAAAUACCAUAAAUAUAACAUAAAAUAACUCUGUAUGAAUUCUAAAGUUCUAAAAGUCUGCUAAAAAUCACAGAAUUAUCGUUUCAUGUACAACAAGCAUGCCAAUUGUUAACAGUGUGCGAGUGAAUAAAUAAUAACGAUGUUCUUGUUUUGGUGAAAUGUUCCUUUGUGAAUGUAGUUGAGAAACAUUGUUUGCGUCAUGGUAACUAAACACUUUGUGCAUCGCAGAACUGCUCUUCUGAAGAUGCGUUAGUACGGACACGCAGGGAUGUUGCAUCAUCUCACACGGUCUCAUAUGGACCAAUCAGAAGGCUUAACAUCGACAUGGAAAACACUAGUCCAAGUUCAGAUUUGCCCCCUGUGGAAACCUUUGUA